rnacentral:rRNA from 3 species
UACGUAGGGACCAAGCGUUGUUCGGAUUUACUGGGCGUAAAGGGCGCGUAGGCGGCGUGUUAAGUCACUUGUGAAAUCUCUAAGCUUAACUUAGAACGGUCAAGUGAUACUGAUGUGCUAGAGUGCAGAAGGGGCAACCGGAAUUCUUGGUGUAGCGGUGAAAUGCGUAGAUAUCAAGAGGAACACCUGAGGUGAAGACGGGUUGCUGGGCUGACACUGACGCUGAGGCGCGAAAGCUAGGGUAGCAAACGGG